rnacentral:rRNA from 1 species
UACGGAGGAUGCAAGCGUUAUCCGGAAUCAUUGGGCGUAAAGCGUCCGCAGGUGGCAUUUCAAGUCUGCUGUCAAAGGUCGGGGCUUAACUCCGAACAGGCAGUGGAAACUGAGAAGCUAGAGUAUGGUAGGGGCAGAGGGAAUUCCUGGUGUAGCGGUGAAAUGCGUAGAGAUCAGGAAGAACACCGGUGGCGAAAGCGCUCUGCUAGGCCAUAACUGACGCUCAGGGACGAAAGCUAGGGGAGCGAAUGGG